rnacentral:rRNA from 1 species
GUGUCAGCCGCCGCGGUAAUACGUAGGGGGCAAGCGUUGUCCGGAAUCAUUGGGCGUAAAGAGCGCGUAGGCGGCCCGGUAAGUCCGCUGUGAAAGUCAAGGGCUCAACCCUUGAAUGCCGGUGGAUACUGUCGGGCUAGAGUCCGGAAGAGGCGAGUGGAAUUCCUGGUGUAGCGGUGAAAUGCGCAGAUAUCAGGAGGAACACCAAUGGCGAAGGCAGCUCGCUGGGACGGUACUGACGCUGAGGCGCGAAAGCGUGGGGAGCAAACAGGAUUAGAUACCCUCGUAGUCC